rnacentral:rRNA from 1 species
UUCGCAAUGCCCGAAAGGGUGACGAAGCGACGCCGCGUGCGGGAAGAAGGCCUUCGGGUUGUAAACCGCUGUCGGGAGUUAAGAAAUGUAAGGAUGUUAAUAGCAUCUUUGCUUGACUAAGGCUCCGGAGGAAGCCACUGCUAACUCUGUGCCAGCAGCCGCGGUAAUACAGAGGCGGCAAGCGUUGUUCGGAAUUAUUGGGCGUAAAGAGCACGUAGGCGGCUAUGUAAGUCGGUUGUGAAAGCCUUCCGCUCAACGGGAGAACAGCAUCCGAUACUGCAUGGCUUGAGUGCGGGAGGGGAGAGUGGAACUUCUGGUGGAGCGGUGAAAUGCGUAGAUAUCAGAAGGAACGCCGGCGGCGAAAGCGGCUCUCUGGCCCAUAACUGACGCUGAGUGUGCGAAAGCUAGGGGAGCAAACGGGAUUAGAUACCCCGGUAGUCCUAGCCGUAAACGAUGGGCACUAAGUAGAGGGGUUUU